rnacentral:rRNA from 1 species
ACACGGGGGGCGCAAGCGUUAUUCGGAAUUAUCGGGCGUAAAGGGCGUGUAGGCGGUUUUAUCGGUCAGAUGUGAAAGCCCAGGGCUCAACCCUGGACGUGCAUUUGAAACAGCAAGACUUGAGUACGGGAGAGGAAAGCGGAAUUCCUGGUGUAGAGGUGAAAUUCGUAGAUAUCAGGAGGAACACCGAUGGCGAAGGCAGCUUUCUGGACCGAUACUGACGCUGAGGCGCGAAGGCGUGGGUAGCGAACAGGAUUAGAAACCCCAGUAGUCC